AUAGGGUAUGUAAGUCUCGUCAUGUGACUUGCGAGAUUUCACGAUAUUUUGCACUUCCGGGUACAAACAAAUAUCAACAACAUUGCUUAUCUAUAUUGGGUAAUACUUGUAUGCCGGUGGGAAAGUAAAACUUACAUGGAAAAGCAAAUGAUAUGUGGAAAUUGGCAGAGUUUUUUGUUUUGUAACGAAAUGCAAAUGGUUUCAUCUUGUGUACAAGUAUCAAUGAAAGACAACUUCGUAUAAUCUUCAGAUAUUUUGACAGAGACAGUGGUGAGAUGAAAGACGUCAGUAUCCAUUGUAAAUACACAUGCAUGCUCUGCUGUAAAAUCGUUUUGGUAUGUGAUUUCAUGGUUGGAUCUUGAGUACUUGUCAUGGCUCUUGAUUUAUUUUGGAGUGUUCACCAUCAGAUUAGAAAUCAAAUAGUGAUACCACCAGGCAUAGUUGAAAGAAAAUGUCCAUACACAGUCUUGGAGUACAUAGUGGUAGAGACAUGGCAGUCCAUUACAGAUUUUGACUGAAUUAAAGCUUCUUAAAGCCCCAUGUCUUGUGUAAACUGUCUGACUGAAUGUUUGUAUUCUAAUAAAAACUAAGGUUGAAGACACUUCAAAGAUAUAUAUGUCAGUGUAAAAAUGUUAAACAAAAUAUAUGUCUUUGUUAGAAAUAAAUAACCUGUCUUUAUUAGAAAUAAAUAACCUGUCAUUUGUAACUUUGUAUUAACUUAAUUAUUCAAAGAUAAUUUAUCUUCUGCAAAUGGCUGCCCAAAACAGUUUCAACCAGGCAUCAUGUAGUUUCAAAACAGUUAAGAUAAAUUUGUUAUGAAUAGACUUGUAAAGUAACAGGAAUGGUAAAAAGAUAAAUGUUCAGCAUUAAAAUGUUUCCAUCUUGAUUGAUUCAUUUCAUAUUAUCACCAUGAUCACUGCAAUUGCUUUUAACUUCUGUCCAUGUACAUAUGUGUAAAUGUAGUCAUUGAAGAGCUGUCAUCAAUAUUAUUUAGAUAGUGUCUGUUUCGAUUUCAGGACAGACAAAAUUCAAAUGACAUGCAUAGUACUUAAUAUAGUCAAUGCUUGCAUAUUCAAGCAAUCUAGCCAUUGCUGUUAGAGAAUUAAAGUACACAGUGACACUUAUUUUGCAGAUGAACUCUUAUGAUCAAGCACUGCUAUAAAUAUAUGCCAAAUAGUAGAAACAAAAAACAGUUCAUAAGUUUAAUAAACCUUUAUUUUUACAAAAUUUAUAGUGCACUGCUUAGCAUAUAUAUCACACUGAUUUUCCAGUGGAAUCAUAUUCUAAUUGAAAAAUGUUCAGCUUGAUAUCAAAGCUUUGAAUGCAAAUUUGUGAGCUUAGCUAUCAAUGAUUACCUCACAAUAUUAGUAGUAGAUGGUAUAUAAUAUUUUUGCUAAUCUUUACUUCAUAGUCAUUUAAUGUCCAUAAUGUCAUAUGACUAUACUGUGAUUCCAUGAAAAACCUUAUCUCUGGUGUGUUAUCAGCUUUGGUAUAUAUAGAGUAUCUAGUUUUAAUACUUAAAACUGCAAUGAAAUGUGGAUAUUUUACUCUGUUUCUAUCAUUGUGACAUUAACAUGUUAACAAGAUCAUAGUG